UACAGAGGUCCCAAGCGUUGUUCGGAUUCACUGGGCGUAAAGGGUGCGUAGGCGGUUGGGUAAGUCUGACGUGAAAUCUUCAAGCUCAACUUGGAAACUGCGUCGGAUACUAUUCGGCUAGAGGAAUGGAGGGGAGACUGGAAUACUUGGUGUAGCAGUGAAAUGCGUAGAGAUCAUGAGGAAAACCAGUGGCGAAGGCGGGUCUCUGGACAGUUCCUGACACUGAGACACGAAGGCCAGGGGAGCAAACGGG
rnacentral:rRNA from 1 species